UAGAGUUUGAUCCUGGCUCAGGACGAACGCUGGCGGCGUGCUUAACACAUGCAAGUCGAACGAUGAAGCCCUUCGGGGUGGAUUAGUGGCGAACGGGUGAGUAACACGUGGGCAAUCUGCCCUUCACUCUGGGACAAGCCCUGGAAACGGGGUCUAAUACCGGAUAACACUCUGUCCCUCAUGGGGCGGGGUUAAAAGCUCCGGCGGUGAAGGAUGAGCCCGCGGCCUAUCAGCUUGUUGGUGGGGUAAUGGCCUACCAAGGCGACGACGGGUAGCCGGCCUGAGAGGGCGACCGGCCACACUGGGACUGAGACACGGCCCAGACUCCUACGGGAGGCAGCAGUGGGGAAUAUUGCACAAUGGGCGAAAGCCUGAUGCAGCGACGCCGCGUGAGGGAUGACGGCCUUCGGGUUGUAAACCUCUUCAGCAGGAAGAAGCAAAGUACG
rnacentral:rRNA from 1 species